GUAAGUUCUGGUUUUGUAACAAUUUUGUGGGUAGUUUCCUUUUUCUCCCUUAACUUCAUAUUUAAGCUCUUUCUUCCCAUCUAUUAUUUUACUUAAUGCCUGCAUUUUUAUUCUUGUGGUUUUCUUUCCACUUUUUUUUUUCCCUCUUUUUUCCUCUGCUUCAUUCUUUUGCUGUACUUCAUUUUUGCUUAGCCUAACAUUUAUUGUGGCUUAUUUUUAGGAUGCAUGUAUGUUUGGGAUGAAAUUAUAAUCAUCUCAACAUUUGUAUACCAAGUAUAUGUUUUUGUUGCAGAAAUAUAUAACAGACAACUGUUCUUGUUCUUCUGAGAAAUACACAUAAUAAAUGACAGGCUACAGAUCAGUGAAUCCUCCACUGUUUUAACAAAACAAAACACUGAAAGCAGGCAAAGGAAGUACAAUAGGAUAAUUUUUUAAAGUACGACAGUUUAUCCUGGGGUCAAAAAUAUUGCAAAUGUUGGUCUUGACUGUGUUGCAUAUGUUAUUUGACACUCAGAUGUCAGUAACAUACUUUGAAAAAAGCAUAGAACAUAUAUACUGCAAGUAAUCAUAUUGAGAGAAGAUAAAACACUUGAAACUUUUAGGUAGAUUUCUCAGUUUACUUAGAUGUUAGACAUAUCUAUUGCCCUUCAAAGUACACUAUUAAUAGCUAGCUUUGUGUAACUGUUCUUUUCUCACAUACAUAUUUUUGCAGAGUAACACCUACAGGUACACUUUUCAACCCCAUAAAUCUCUUCCAAUUUUCAAAGUGCUCUUCUGUCUUCAUUUCUGAAUAACGGUCAUAGAGCAUGAAGCCCAUUGGAAUAAAUACAGUGUAUGAAUGCAAGCUCCAUGGAUUUUUCUGUUACCUGAGCACAUGUGUAGGUCCCAAAGUCAUGUAGGCUUAAAGAAAACACUGUGUUGAGACCUUUUUUAAAAAAAUCAUUAUUAUUUGUCACAUCCAAUUCUCUUUUAUAUCUAGAAUAACUGGAUAUAAUAACAUGGGCACACGUUUAAAGGGAGGCAUCCACUUGAGGCAGAGACAUACCAGUAUACAAGAAGGUUCUAGAGACCUAGUUGACAUCACUGAAGUCUAGCAAUAGUUUUACCUUAAUCCACAAUGUUUAUUUUUUAUGACUGGUCUUUUUUUUUUUUUUUUUUUUGGUAGAUACAGAGCAUCUACUAUGAAUAGCAAAGGUUUCCAAAAGAGAGGAUUAGGGAGAGGGGAAGUUGUAGAGUUUUGGAAGAGGGCUGUUUGUGUAUUUGUUUUCCUAUAACUGGCUAAAACCCAGCAACUAUUCUCCAGAAAUUUCACAAGAAACAUUCAUAUGGGCAGGAAAUCUACUGGCAAGAAAUGGCAGAUGAAAGAAUUAUGUACUGCAGAAUGAGACUUUUGCACCUGCACAUUGCUUAAGUUGGAGAACACGUUAUGAAUACAAUCACAAUAGCGUAACCAGCAGGAUGCAUAGUUAUCUACCAGGAAAGAUUUCAUUUUGAGACUUCAUGGACACUUCUGGAGUUAGCACAAAACAAGGACUUGAAUCAAUUUCAAACUUGCACUUAUUGAGAAAAAAAAAACUAACAAAAACUUUAACAAUUACUAUUGGGAUAUUACAUUUAAAAUUAAGAUAAGAACUGUAAAACUGUGCCCAGACAAUUCUAUUGUAUCUCCAAGGACACUGGUGGGAUUACAAGCAGGGAUGCCCCUUAAGUGCAAUCAGAGAAACCCUGCUUCAGAGUCAUUCACUGGAUUUUGUUUUAUUUCUACUUUAUUUAUGGAUAAACCAUUUUUCCCUCGGGGUCAUUAAACUUAGGCUGGAGCAGAGCUGUUCAAAAAACUCCUACAGAACAUUUUUAGGGGUCAGGAUUCGGUAAUUCAUUGAAAUCAAAAUAUUUCCAAUGCAUAUCAAAACAUAUCAACAAAGUUUCAAAACAAAUGAUGUCCCAGUUUCGAAACCUGGAAGACUGGAGGUCUCUAGUUCAAAGGUAGACAACUUGGUGGGCCAUCCUGCAAUGACAGGAGACCUCUGGAGCCCUGCAGGCAUCUAGAAGAUCUCAGCCAAAAUCCAACUGUCAUUGGGAAAAGAAGUUUAGAUUUCAAUCAAUUGCCAAGAUCUCUCUGAAGUCUGCCAAACAGACUGGUUCCAUCAUAUUUUCUCUGCAGAAAUGUUUGCUUGUUUCAAAUUAAUAAUUUCACCCCCAAAUAAAUCCUUUUAUCCACCUCGGUAAUCACAUGGAUCACAAAAGUCUUAUAACAAGAGGUAGAUCCUCCCUGAAUUUGUCCUUGGUCCAGGUUUCAGGCACAUAAGGUUUACUACAGACCUUGGGAGUGUGCAGUUCAGUCUUUCCUAGCUGAUGAACAACUUUACCACUGAAUUUCACAUAAAUAUGCAUCAGAACUUCUUCACAUUAAGGUCAGUGGAGCACUGGAACAGGCUGCCCAUAGAGGUUGUGGAUUCUCCUUUUCUGGAGAUAUUCAAGACCCACCUGGACACCUACCUGUGCAGCCUGCUGUAGGCAGUCUGCUUUGCAGGGGGGCUGCACUCCAUGAUUUCUGGAGGUCUCUUCCAGCCCUUACAAUUCUGUGAUUCUGUGAUUUUCACCUUGUGAAUGGUUUCAAGCAGCCAUAGGGAAGUAAUGCCCAGUGGUUCUCUGACUGGGAAGGUCAAGACUUAGUUAAGGUUGUUCAAGAUAAAUGUUGGCCCUCUCCUAGUAGGAUCUGAAUCAUCAAGAAAGUGGGAAAAAAUGUAAUUGUGAAGAAAUUAUUAAUACCAUCUAAAACAGUAUUCAUUAAAAAUGACAGUGCAGAAGUAUGCAACCUCUGUUGCUAUCUCCUAUGCAUGUAUUAUGGCAUAUCAACACAGAUCAUAAAACAGCAAUAGUAGGAGCCCCUUGGGGUCACAGAGCCGAGGCUCUGCCCUGCUGUGUUACAAGAGCUGCUGCCCAGCCAUGCUGCAUUCCCUCACUAAUGGCCCAGGCCAAGUUCUACACGUCAGCCAGGCCAGGCUCCAUUGGGAGCCACCUACUUGUCUGGGAGGUCACCAUUCGAUCCACCAGAAUGAAGAUUUAAAUCACAGAGCAUGGCCUGUGAACUGAGGGGAGACGAAGAAGUAACAUCCUUAGAAAAACUAUUUAAUGACAGAUAAAUCAACAUUGCGUGCAUUAAUAUAUGAUCCAUGGCAAUGUCUUCUAAGGUUUAUCUUCUCUCCUUUAUGCACUGCAACAUCUUUUGGGUUGUGAGGAACAAUGUGUGGGAAAACCCUUUUUAAAUUUCAUGCUUGUCACAUGAGCGCCAUCUGAACAACUAAACUACAAACUUCAUCAUUUUGUUUAAAAAAAAAAAAAAAAAGAAAUGAAAACUCUAUUAAGCCUCAGUCACCGAGUACUCAUCCAGAUUUCUGACAGUCAGUAAAUGCCUCAGAAAUCUCUUCCACUUACAGCGCCUGGAAUUCAGCAGUCCAGCAAAUCAGGUUAUAAAAUCAGCAUAUCUGCCCCAAAAGGAGCAUGCCUUUCCCUUAUGGUACCGGGGCUACAAUGCACGCGCUGGGCAGCAGGCUGGCACUGGGCCGGAAAGGUAUCCGCCGUUUUGUAAAACAAAGCAGCCAGCUAUAAUCUUGUUCGUUUCCAGAUAAUAAAAGGAAAGUCUCAUUUUGCAACUAUAAAAAAAAAGUUAAAGAAGUACAGCUGUAAGCAAAAAUCCAGUCCAUUUGUGGUUUAAAGAGCUCCACGCCUACUGUACAUAAAAUAAUACGCUGGUAUCAUUAGCAUAGACAACAGCUUGUUUUCAAUUUGGCUGCAGAUAAUGAAAUUAUCCCCCAAAUUACCAUAAAGUGGAACAAAUAAACACAAAAGCAAACUCUGUCUUUUUUUCCCCCUUCAGCGGCGCUGGCUUUCAGCUAUUUAGAAUAAAAGCAAAGCUUCUGUUUU
ensembl:lncRNA